GAUUGCAGUCUGCGAGAUCUUCGCUUGAUUUUAAAUUAGCCGACUUUUAAUACGCGUGCUAUUGCAUGCCACGCUGAUACGGUCGGCGCGUUCACAUUUAUGCGCCGAUGAUGCUACCUAUUGGCGGGAAGAACGGAGACUGCAAGGGUUGGUCUUUCGUGGAAUCGAUUGGAAAUUUGCAAACUCAUUACUCGAGGGUUAUUGUGUAUCGGAAGUGAAGUGUGCAAAACGCAUCCGCCGCACCUCACUUGUCACGAGUAGUUAAUAAAUAGGCGGCUAAUGAAAAUCUUUAUUAGACGUGACGACGCUAAUCAGCCAAGCUAAUGACCUUACAUGGAAGAUAGAAUUGGAUGAAGCUUCUCAAAGGAAUUCUUUAAAUAUCAUUAACGAUUUAUAUGCAUGCAUACAUGAUGCAGGUCGUUAAGAACUUCAAUCAGCUAAACGCGACCAUAGUAGUAAAAUCUGCUCGUUAAACAGCAGCAGAUUGAUAAGGUGAUAACUGAAGAGUCAUCAUUCGAGCUACGUUAGGGUGAUUCGUGUAAUAUUCAAUUAAAAUAUCAGCAUAAACUAAUAAUACAAUUUUAACAAUAAACCAUAUAGUAACGUUAAAG